rnacentral:misc_RNA from 1 species
UCACUACUUGCGUAGGCAGUCUUCUUAAAGUGCUCAGCUUAACCUGGUAGCAACUAAGGGCAAGGGUUGCGCUCGUUGCGGGACUUAACCCAACAUCUCACGACACGAGCUGACGACAGCCAUGCAGCACCUCGAUAACCGCCUCCGAAGAGGACCCCCUGUUUCCAGGAGUUGCAGUUACCGUUCGAGCCCCGGUAAGGUUCUUCGCGUUGCGUCGAAUUGAACCACAUGCUCCACCGCUUGUGCGGGCCCCCGUCAAUUCCUUUGAGUUUCAGUCUUGCGACCGUACUCCCCAGGCGGGGCACUUAACGUGUUAACUCCGGCACCGAGGGACUCAAUACCCCCGACACCAAGUGCCCAUCGUUUACGGCUAGGACUAC